GUGCUCACUUCGGCAGUACACAUAUUAAAAUUGGAAUGAUACAGAGAAGAUUAGCAUGGCCCCUGCACAAGGAUGACAUGCAAGUUCAUGAAGCGUUCCAUAUUUCU
rnacentral:snRNA from 1 species